rnacentral:rRNA from 1 species
UACGUAGGGUGCGAGCGUUAAUCGGAAUUACUGGGCGUAAAGGGUGCGCAGGCGGUUCUGCAAGUCAGGCGUGAAAUCCCCGGGCUUAACCUGGGAAUGGCGCUUGAAACUACGGGACUGGAGUAUGGCAGAGGGAGGUGGAAUUCCACGUGUAGCGGUGAAAUGCGUAGAGAUGUGGAGGAACACCGAUGGCGAAGGCAGCCUCCUGGGCCAAUACUGACGCUCAUGCGCGAAAGCGUGGGGAGCAAACAGG